rnacentral:rRNA from 1 species
CCGGUUGAUCCUGCCGGACCUGACUGCUAUCGGAUUGAUACUAAGCCAUGCGAGUCUUUGUAGCAAUACAAGGCAGACGGCUCAGUAACACGUAGUCAAUCUACCCUAUGGACGGGGAUAACCUCGGGAAACUGAGAAUAAUACCCGAUAGAUCAUUAUGCCUGGAAUGGUUUAUGGUUCAAAUGAUUUUUCGCCAUAGGAUGGGACUGCGGUCUAUCAGCUUUUUGUUGAGUUAAUGGCCCACCAAGGCUAUAACAGAUACGGGCUCUGAGAGGAGAAGCCCGGAGAUGGGUACUGAGACACGGACCCAGGUCCUAUGGGGCGCAGCAGGCGAGAAAACUUUGCAAUGUGCGAAAGCACGACAAGGUUAAUCCGAGUGGUUCCUGCUAAAGGAAUCUUUUGUCAGUC